rnacentral:rRNA from 1 species
UAACUGAAGAGUUUGAUCAUGGCUCAGAUUGAACGCUGGCGGCAGGCUUAACACAUGCAAGUCGAGCGGGGGAAGGUAGCUUGCUACCGGACCUAGCGGCGGACGGGUGAGUAAUGCUUAGGAAUCUGCCUAUUAGUGGGGGACAACAUCUCGAAAGGGAUGCUAAUACCGCAUACGUCCUACGGGAGAAAGCAGGGGAUCUUCGGACCUUGCGCUAAUAGAUG